rnacentral:pre_miRNA from 1 species
UACACCAGGGAAUCUUGUUAAAAGGCAGAUUCGGAUUCAGAAGGUCUGUGUAGGACCUGAGAGUCUGGAUUUCUAACAAGUUCCCAGGUGAUCUCAA